UCUCCAAAUACAGUCACAUUCUGAGGUACUGAAGGCUUCAGCAUAUGAAUUAGGGGUGGGUGGGGCACAAUUCAGCCUCUAACAUGGACCACCAGAGCAAUGCCGGGAGAGGGGGCAUGUGCUCUAAGGGAGAUGUGAAUGGCUGCCGGAAGGUGGACUGGAACAGGCCAGACGGAAAUCUAAUGGGACGUGCAACAGAGGCUCUCCAAGAAGUGCAACACCCAGCCCUCCAGUCCGGAGCCUGUGCCUAAGUCAGACCAGGGUCCCUUCUCUAACACAGAUGUGAACAGCCAGAGGAAGGGAUGGGCUGCCUGGUUACUGGCGAAGCUGAGAUUCCAGCCCCGGGCCCUACUUCAUGGUGCAGAUGGAUCCCAAGGAAGCUGGAUCCCAAGGAAGCUGUAUAUACAGCUCAAACUCACCAAGCAAGGAUUGUGUAUGAAGCAGUUUAAUCGUACCUCUGCCUGUGGGCAGCGCCAGGUGGUAGUGAUGGUGGGAGGGAGGAUUAAUUGGUGCCUCUUCUCUGGUUCUAUAUUCAAUUUCCUUGGUCAGAGAAAUCGGAUUACUCAAGAGGUUGAGAAAGGGAACAUUGGUUAUAAAGUUCAAGGAGAUGAAUUAUACUUGGAUGUUCAGUCUUUUCAAUGCUAGGCAGCUGAUUACAUUCUGCCUGUUUGACAGUGAUGGAUGACUGAGGAAAUGAGAAUUUCAGCCCCAUUCCCAAAGGAUGGCUUUUCCUGUGUCUGAACAAACCCAAGAAUGAUUACCAAUUAACCUCUUUCUCUGGAGUCUCUGCCAAGAAAGAAUUGGGUUUCUAGAGCCCCAAAAGUCGUAAUAGGGAGACGCUGACGGUGAACGUCUAUGAGAGGAGAGCCCGGUUCUUGGGACUGUGGAUUUCCAGUUCGGAGAAGCUCAGAAAUACUGCACAGCAUAAGGGUAGGUUCUGGCCGCUAGUAGAAGAUGUUAUUUAAAUAUUUUAGAAAAGGGAGAUCAAAUAAAGGUGCCUAGUAACUAGACUGACAACUCUUUGAAGAGUCAAGGAGUUCCCCUGAUAAUUUGUAACUCACACAUUUAAUAGCAAAAAUCAGUUGAAACGUGCUAAGGACUUUCCCCUAGUGUACUGAGAAGAGAAUGGACCUGUCCCCCAGGAGACCUGGCCCCAGCUCCACCCUCUCGUGAUCUGUCUAUCCCAGGACGGAGCAGGCGCUCAGCGGACACGUGAGGCCUGAAUGGAUACACCAAGGGGACACAGUGAGCAGGUCUUUGCAAACUUAACCCCCAAAGGCUGAGUGAGCUGAGAGGCUGAAGAAAGAGACUGACAAAUCCAGUUUCUCUGAAAGAAACAUUUAAUAGGAACUUACGUUAAGAACAGAAGCCAUGUUUCAGGCAGCCGUGAAUUGGUGGAUUCCUGCACUGUUAUGUCCCAGACCCAGGGCUUAUAAACCUCAGGAAAUUUGCCCAAGGGCAGGAUUUAUGUUCUGCUUUCAGGAAAGAAGAAGGGAUUUGUUGGCCCAGCUUGGGCUAGAGUUUUAAGGAGGAGGAUGACUCUGGGGCCCGAUGUCAGGUGGCCACAAGAAGCCAAGUAGGAGAAAGGUAAGACCUGGGGGGAUUUUGACGGGGGCUUCUUGUCCAUGAGGACAGGGCCCUUCUGCACGUCUUCUUAGUUGAGACUGCGUGUGCAUGUGUGCACACAUGCAGGGUUUCUAUCGAUGUUUCUGGGGAAUACCAUUUCCUCAAACCCAAGUCCAGUCGGCAGAGAAUUGUAAGUUCCUUGGAGUUCCAGAUGCAGGAUGGUAACUCAAAAGAGUUGGUUUGUUCAAUGCUGUCCUUGUUUCAUUUCUGCAGGAGGCUUUCCCAGAGCUUGUGGAAGGAGAAGAAACAGGACCCAGGUUCCAGGCAGGCCUCCCCCUCCCAUGGGGUGAGGGUCCCACUGGAAGUAGGUAGAAGUCGCUCGGGUCUUCUCAACACCUUGUUUCUCGGUGCUGCAGAAGAUUCCUGAGCUGGAGAGUGGGAGGCCUGAGUUUUCAUGCCUGCUCUGUCCUGCUGCCUGCUAGACUUGGCAAAGGCCCUGCACCCUCUGCACUUCUGUGUCCUACCUCCUAAAUGGGACUGUAACCGCCCCCUACCUUCCAGGCCUGAGACUCCAAUAGAGCAAUGGAGGACCAGCAAAGGCACCAUGCAAGUCAAGGCUUUCUCAUUCAGCAUCCUAGGUGUCCUCUAUGAACAGAUUAAAAGGUCAGCUUUUUCUCCCCCCAUUGACAGUGCUGGAAUUGAAAAUAUUUGCUCCUGGAGGUGACACUGGUGUAUCUGAGCGUUCAAGGGUGGUCGGGACUCUCCCAUGUGACUUGGCUGUCUGCUGCAGUAACACUCAUGCAGACCCUACGUCCCCCUGUGCCUGUCCCCACCCAGAGUGUCUGUCAUUGGUUUUAACCCUUCAGAACCCAGUGCUUCAAGGUGACAUGCUGGGCUGGAGCUCUCCCUGCUCCCUGAUAUGUUGCCUGCUGAGUUUUUCUGGGAUGGACACUCACUCUUUCUUUCCAUCCAUCUUGCAAACGGAGAAGUCUUAAGCUGGGAAUUGAUUGUGAUGUGGUUUGAUGUGCAGCUCGUGUGUGUGACUAAUUCCAGAAGUGACAAGUUGUUUCCUUUCCUCUUUUCUUAAAACAACUAAUCUGGACAGAGAAGGAAAGAAGAACUCCAAGUCUGUGAGAGUUGAAAGAGUGGCUGCCCAGUCUUCAUCCUGGAGGAGCAGAGGGGACAAGUGAGGUGCUGCCGCCGUCUGCUGGGCUGCCUGAGCACCUUGGCCAUGCUCCGAUGUCCCCGGGGCCCAUCUAUGAAGACUUAUGGGGCAAGGGUGGGAGAGAGGGGCUCAGAACUGUCACGACCUUUGUAGCUUGUCACAGUCCUAACUGGAGGGUUGACUAAGCUGACACUACACAAUCCCACAUGUAAAAUGGGGCCACUAACACUGGAUGAUUUCUGAGGUCCUUUCAGUUUGACUUAGGUUAGUCAAACCAUUUGACUUUAAGAGGAGAACAAAAAAUCCAAAUUUUACUUAGUUAUUUUUGAACUACUUGGUUUUAUUUCCAUAAGAUAAACCUUGAAGAACUUCACAAAAAGUACAGUUUUCUUUAUUACCUGCUUGAUAAUGAUAAUUUAAAUCAGUCCUUGACAGUCAACACCGCAAUUAUUACAUACACACUGAGAAACCAUAUGGUAACUACUGUAUAGACAGUGUCUUGCCCUUUUCCUAUUUGCAAUAAAGUUGGGAGGAUUUGUAUACAUACAAAAAAGAACACAUGGAAAAUUUAUUAAAUGCCAAGUAAAAGGUAAAAAUAUUAAUAAAAUAUUAU